rnacentral:rRNA from 1 species
GACGAACGCUGGCGGCGUGCUUAACACAUGCAAGUCGAACGGAAAGGCCCUGCUUUUGUGGGUUGCUCGAGUGGCGAACGGGUGAGUAACACGUGAGUAACCUGCCCUUGACUUUGUGAUAACUUCAGGAAACUGGGGCUAAUACCGGAUAGGAGCUCCUGCUGCAUGGUGGGGGUUGGAAAGUUUCGGCGGUUGGGGAUGGACUCGCGGCUUAUCAGCUUGUUGGUGGGGUAGUGGCUUACCAAGGCUUUGACGGGUAGCCGGCCUGAGAGGGUGACCGGCCACCUUGGGACUGAGAUACGGCCCAGACUCCUACGGGAGGCAGCAGUGGGGAAUAUUGCACAAUGGGCGGAAGCCUGAUGCAGCAACGCCGCGUGCGGGAUGACGGCCUUCGGGUUGUAAACCGCUUUCGCCUGUGACGAAGCGUGAGUGACGGUACUGGGUAAAGAAGCACCGGCUAACUACGUG